AAAUUAGUGACAUCGGAAAUAAAGGAAUAACAGAGUUUCUUCAAUUAUACAAUUAUUUAGACAAACUUUUGAUAAAUUGGUUAAGAAAAACAUUGAGAAGGCACAAAUCUUAAAAGAAGUUACAACUUCAGGUAGACUUGAGAUGUUUGAAAUACAACAAUAGCUAAAAUAAAAAUAUCGAAACACUUUGUACCAGUGACUUUUCUGAGUAUUUAAUGCCCUGAAUGAUGGCUCUAGCAGAUAAGUCUCACUGCUGUUUCUCUUUAUAAAACAGAAACUGGAAUCAGGUUUUAGCCUAACAGUUAAGAGACCCCCAUUCCACAUCGGAAUGCCUGGGUUCAAUGCCCAGCUCCAACUUCUUUUUUUUUUUUUUUUUUCAGAGUUUAGGACCUUUAAUUUGUCCUAAAGUCACUGAAGCAAAAAUCAUGAUAAAACAUUCUGUUUUCCUUUACAAGCCCCCAACGGGAAAAAAACCCAACUAUUUGUAGGAAUCGUUCGACGGCUCUGUCCGGGCGAGGAUAGUGACGGACCGGGAGACGGGAUCUUCCAAAGGGUUUGGCUUCGUAGACUUCAACAGUGAGGAGGACGCCAAAGCCGCCAAGGAGGCCAUGGAGGAUGGGGAGAUUGAUGGCAACAAAGUCACUUUGGACUGGGCCAAGCCGAAGGGUGAAGGUGGCUUUGGGGGCCGUGGCGGAGGCAGAGGCGGCUUUGGAGGCCGAGGUGGUGGCAGAGGAGGAGGCGGAGACCACAAGCCACAAGGAAAGAAGACGAAGUUUGAAUAAUUUCUUCUGUCCCUGUCUUUCCCUCUUCCAUUUGAAAGAAAGGACUCUGGGGUUUUUACUCUGUUAACCUGCACAGUGACAGAGCCUUCUGAGGACAUUCCAAGACAGUGUGCAGUCCUGUGGUCUGCUUGGAAGUCGUAGAGAUAACAUUUCAAGGGCGAUACCUGUCGGUUUUGACUGGAUAUUCAUAUAAACUUUUUAAAGAGAUGAGUGAUAGAGCUAACCCUAUCUGUAAGUUUUGAAUUUAUAUUGUUUCAGCCCAGCUCCAACUUCUGACUACAGCUUCUUGCUAAUGCAGACCUUGGGAUGCAGUGGUAGUGGCUCAAGUAAUUGGGUCCCUGCCACCCAUAUAGGAAACCUGGAUUGAGUGCCUGUCUCCUGGCUUUGACCUGACCCAUUCUUGCCUGUUGUAUACAUUUAACAGAUAGGAUCUCUCUCUCUCUCUCUCUCUCUCUCUCUCAAAUAAAUAAGGGAAAGAAUUAUAGACA
rnacentral:lncRNA from 1 species